AGUGAACGCUGGCGGUAGGCCUAACACAUGCAAGUCGAACGGCAGCACAGGAGAGCUUGCUCUCUGGGUGGCGAGUGGCGGACGGGUGAGGAAUACAUCGGAAUCUACUUUUUCGUGGGGGAUAACGUCGGGAAACUUACGCUAAUACCGCAUACGACCUACGGGGGAACGCAGGGGACCUUCGGGCCUUGCGCGAUUCAAUGAGCCGAUGUCGGAUUAGAUAGUUGGCGGGGUAAAGGCCCACCAAGGGGACGGUCCGUAGCGGGGCUGGGAGGAGGAUCAGCCACACUGGAACUGAGACACAGUCCAGACUCCUACGGGAGGCAGCAGUGGGGAAUAUUGGACAAUGGGCGCAAGCCUGAUCCAGCCAUACCGCGUGGGUGAAGAAGGCCUUCGGGUUGUAAAGCCCUUUUGUUGGGAAAAAAAUCCAGCUGGCUAAUAUCCGGUUGGGAUGACGGUACCCAAAGAAUAAGCACCGGCUAACUUCGUGCCAGCAGCCGCCGUAA
rnacentral:rRNA from 1 species